rnacentral:rRNA from 1 species
UACGAACCGAGCGAACGUUGUUCGGAAUUACUGGGCGUAAAGCGUGCGCAGGCGGUUUUGUAAGCCAGAUGUGAAAUCCCCGGGCUUAACCUGGGAAUGGCAUUUGGGACUGCAAGGCUCGAGUGCGGCAGAGGAGACUGGAAUUCCUGGUGUAGCAGUGAAAUGCGUAGAUAUCAGGAGGAACACCGAUGGCGAAGGCAGGUCUCUGGGCUGACACUGACGCUCAUGCACGAAAGCGUGGGGAGC